UUCUCUCACAUAGGAGACUGCUGUCAAAGGAGUCUACUGACAUAUGAGAUGCCCUGUGCUAUCUCUGAAGGCUUGAAACCCUGUAAUUCUUUGGCUGGUGAGGUACCGAGAUCCCGACUUCAGUGGAGGAACACUAUCAAGAGGCUGGCAGAGGGGGG
rnacentral:lncRNA from 1 species